rnacentral:rRNA from 1 species
CCUACGGGAGGCAGCAGUGAGGAAUAUUGGUCAAUGGCCGGAAGGCUGAACCAGCCAUGCCGCGUGAAGGUCAGUGCCCUAUGGGCUUUAAACUUCUUUUUUUCGGGAGCAAUAAUAGUCACGUUUUGCCAGACUAGAGUACCGUACGAAUAAGCAUCGGCUAACUCCGUUCCAGCAGCCGCGUUAAUACGGAGGAUACAAGCGUUAACCGGAUUUAUUGGGUUUAAAGGGUGCGUAGGCGGUUUGAUAAGGUAGAGGUGAAAUACCGGGGCUCAACACCGGAACUGCCUCUAAAACUGUUGAACGAGAGAGGAGUUGCGGUAGGCGGAAUGUAUGGUGUAGCGGUGAAAUGCUUAGAGAUCAUACAGAACACCGAUUGCGAAGGCAGCUUACCAAACUAUAUCUGACGUUGAGGCACGAAAGCGUGGGUAGCAAACAGGAUUAGAUACCCCGGUAGUC